UUUAUGGAGAGUUUGAUCCUGGCUCAGAGUGAACGCUGGCGGCGUGCCUAAUACAUGCAAGUCGAACGAUGAAGCUUCUAGCUUGCUAGAAUGCUGAUUAGUGGCGCACGGGUGAGUAACGCAUAGGUCAUGUGCCUCUUAGUUUGGGAUAGCCAUUGGAAACGAUGAUUAAUACCAGAUACUCCCUACGGGGGAAAGAUUUAUCGCUAAGAGAUCAGCCUAUGUUCUAUCAGCUUGUUGGUAAGGUAAUGGCUUACCAAGGCUAUGACGGGUAUCCGGCCUGAGAGGGUGAACGGACACACUGGAACUGAGACACGGUCCAGACUCCUACGGGAGGCAGCAGUAGGGAAUAUUGCUCAAUGGGGGAAACCCUGAAGCAGCAACGCCGCGUGGAGGAUGAAGGUUUUAGGAUUGUAAACUCCUUUUGUUAGAGAAGAUAAUGACGGUAUCUAACGAAUAAGCACCGGCUAACUCCGUGCCAGCAGCCGCGGUAAUACGGAGGGUGCAAGCGUUACUCGGAAUCACUGGGCGUAAAGAGCGCGUAGGCGGGAUAGUCAGUCAGGUGUGAAAUCCUAUGGCUUAACCAUAGAACUGCAUUUGAAACUACUAUUCUAGAGUGUGGGAGAGGUAGGUGGAAUUCUUGGUGUAGGGGUAAAAUCCGUAGAGAUCAAGAGGAAUACUCAUUGCGAAGGCGACCUGCUGGAACAUUACUGACGCUGAUUGCGCGAAAGCGUGGGGAGCAAACAGGAUUAGAUACCCUGGUAGUCCACGCCCUAAACGAUGGAUGCUAGUUGUUGGAGGGCUUAGUCUCUCCAGUAAUGCAGCUAACGCAUUAAGCAUCCCGCCUGGGGAGUACGGUCGCAAGAUUAAAACUCAAAGGAAUAGACGGGGACCCGCACAAGCGGUGGAGCAUGUGGUUUAAUUCGAAGAUACACGAAGAACCUUACCUAGGCUUGACAUUGAGAGAAUCCGCUAGAAAUAGUGGAGUGUCUAGCUUGCUAGACCUUGAAAACAGGUGCUGCACGGCUGUCGUCAGCUCGUGUCGUGAGAUGUUGGGUUAAGUCCCGCAACGAGCGCAACCCCCUUUCUUAGUUGCUAACAGGUCAUGCUGAGAACUCUAAGGAUACUGCCUCCGUAAGGAGGAGGAAGGUGGGGACGACGUCAAGUCAUCAUGGCCCUUACGCCUAGGGCUACACACGUGCUACAAUGGGGUGCACAAAGAGAAGCAAUACUGCGAAGUGGAGCCAAUCUUCAAAACGCCUCUCAGUUCGGAUUGUAGGCUGCAACUCGCCUGCAUGAAGCUGGAAUCGCUAGUAAUCGCAAAUCAGCCAUGUUGCGGUGAAUACGUUCCCGGGUCUUGUACUCACCGCCCGUCACACCAUGGGAGUUGUGUUUGCCUUAAGUCAGGAUGCUAAAUUGGCUACUGCCCACGGCACACACAGCGACUGGGGUGAAGUCGUAACAAGGUAACCGUAGGUGAACCUGCGGUUGGAUCACCUCCUUUCUAGA
rnacentral:rRNA from 1 species